CCUGUCUGGUCUUGGUUGGAUCAGAGUAGGGAGUCCGAACGGAACUCUGCUUCCUGAUCAUGGUGCACCAUGCUCUUUGCACCCGCUCUUUGCACAGAGACAGAGGAAUGAUUCAGACAUCUCUUCAAGAGAGAUCACUCACAGCAUUAUUCCCCAUGCAAUAAAAGAGAGAUCUGCAAGAUAAGAUCCCAGCAUCUUAGGCUGGAAGCAUCCUGUAGUUCUGCAUCCUUUGUCUUGGGGACAUAUUUUAGGCAGCAACUUCUACUCCUCUGUUGGAAACCUCUCUUGUCAUUGAAGCAGAUUUUGGAGGUGCAUGAAUAUCCAGUUUUUAGACUGAGUGCCCUGAAUAUUGAUGCUAUGUUUAAUUCUAGCUAUUCAAUGAAAUUGUGAUUGAUGCAUACAUGAUAAAACGGGCUUUGAUAGCUUCAUUUUAAUAAUAUUCCUAAGAUAUGUUUUACUCUCUAUUUCCCCCCACAAACACAGACAUUUCUUCCCCAUUUCAAUUUUUUAUAUCCCCCUCUCCCCAAACUAUCCUAUUGUCAGCUUCUGUUGACAAUCCCUCCCCAUUCUCUGUUCCUAUUUGCUCAUGAUCAAGUCUCUGCACUCAGAGAACUCUGUGUGUUUUGGUGUCUAUAAAGCACUUGCUGCCUGAGUUCAAAUCCUGAUUCCAGCACUUAAUGAUAGUAACCUCUUCACACCUCAGUAUCCUCAUCUGUAAGUUGGGACUGAUAAAGAAACUAUGUAAUGGGUUUAUUGGGGGAAGGGUAAUGAAGGUAGAGGAAGCUGACCAUUAAAGAAGCAUUCACUCAACGUUCAUUUUUAGUAAUAUUUCUUAGGUAGAUAGAGGUGCUAACAUUGUCUUGAUAGGAAAUCAGUUCUCAAGAACCUCUGUCCAACUCUAGACUUUGUCACAUGAGGACAAUAUGGAUAACUGACCUCUGGAGUGAAAUCUGCAAGAGGUGACUAGGAAGUGUCAACAGCCCCUCCCUUGCCCAGCACCUUCCAGUUCAGGAAGCUUUUCCGUGUGCCUCAGCCCCUUCCACUUUCCAGCUACUUGACUGUCUGCUCAAAAGACUGAACUUAAAUCACAGACUCAC
rnacentral:lncRNA from 1 species